GCGGAUGUGGCGGAAUUGGUAGACGCACUGGAUUUAGGUUCCAGCGCCGCAAGGUGUGGAGGUUCGAGUCCUCUCAUCCGCACCA
rnacentral:tRNA from 1 species